GUAAAAAGUCGUAACAAGGUCUCCGUAGGUGAACC
rnacentral:rRNA from 1 species